ACGGCAGCACAGGAGAGCUUGCUCUCUGGGUGGCGAGUGGCGGACGGGUGAGGAAUACAUCGGAAUCUACUUUUUCGUGGGGGAUAACGUAGGGAAACUUACGCUAAUACCGCAUACGACCUACGGGUGAAAGCAGGGGAUCUUCGGACCUUGCGCGAUUGAAUGAGCCGAUGUCGGAUUAGCUAGUUGGCGGGGUAAAGGCCCACCAAGGCGACGAUCCGUAGCUGGUCUGAGAGGAUGAUCAGCCACACUGGAACUGAGACACGGUCCAGACUCCUACGGGAGGCAGCAGUGGGGAAUAUUGGACAAUGGGCGCAAGCCUGAUCCAGCCAUACCGCGUGGGUGAAGAAGGCCUUCGGGUUGUAAAGCCCUUUUGUUGGGAAAGAAAUCCAGCCGGCUAAUACCUGGUUGGGAUGACGGUACCCAAAGAAUAAGCACCGGCUAACUUCGUGCCAGCAGCCGCGGUAAUACGAAGGGUGCAAGCGUUACUCGGAAUUACUGGGCGUAAAGCGUGCGUAGGUGGUUAUUUAAGUCCGUUGUGAAAGCCCUGGGCUCAACCUGGGAACUGCAGUGGAUACUGGAUGACUAGAAUGUGGUAGAGGGUAGCGGAAUUCCUGGUGUAGCAGUGAAAUGCGUAGAGAUCAGGAGGAACAUCCAUGGCGAAGGCAGCUACCUGGACCAACAUUGACACUGAGGCACGAAAGCGUG
rnacentral:rRNA from 1 species